rnacentral:lncRNA from 1 species
AGUUAUUAUUUUUAAAUUUUGCAGGACUAAAUUUGAUUUACUAAGUUUGUUAGGAAAACAGAAAUAUAUAUAUUUUUAACGUGUAAAGCUACUAUACUAUUGGAAGUAUAGAGUAUUUGAUACUUUCGAUUUUUUUACUUUUGAAUUAAAAAUUGUACGGUUAGGAUGAUUGCGGUGCUCCCUAGGAUUGAGUAGUACUCCUAGAGCUGAAUGGUCUCUACAGGAUAAUAAUAUUAAUCGAAAAGCUAGAAAUGAAUAAAGCGGCCGAUCUAAGAGCCAAAAGUCGAAAGCACCAAAUUUUCUAUACUUCUCAUAGUAUAGUAACUAUAUAUAUAUAUAUAUAUAUAUAUAUUAUAUAUAUAAUUAGACUGAAAUACUAUGAAUAGCACCAAACUAUUAGUGUUAUUAGGUUUUCGGCCCCUAAAUGAAAAAAUAUACGGUUAGGAUGACGUGGGCCCCUUAGGAUUGAGUGAGUUAUUGGUUGAAUAGUAUAAUCUAACGGGUGAAAAAUAGUCAAAGGAUUAAAUCUAACGACGAAAAACUUGAUAGCAGCAAACGCUUGGUGCUAUCGAUAAUAUUUAAGCCAGACCCCCCCUCUCUCUCUCUCUCUCUCUCUCUCUCUCUCUCUCUCUCUCUCUCUCUAUAUAUAUAUAUAUAUAUAUAUAGUCUGGCUACUAUACUUUUUUGAGUAUGAUCACCCUCGUACUCAUAAGUCGUUUUCGAUGAUAGAACUUCCAAAUUGAUGAUCUAUACCGUUAAACGUUAUUUACAGCAUUUAAAACUUCUAGAAAUCAAAUUUUAUAAUUUUUCAACAUCAUUUACCUUACGAUUAAAAGGUCACAAAACUGAUAAUUUUUAACGACUGGUAUGGAAUAUUUGCUAGUUUAACGGUGUAAAAGAAUCGGAAUAGGUUGAAUUUUUGAUA